GAAUUUGACGUCAUCAAAACAAUCACUCAAACCUUUCCCAAUGUGAAGUUUUUCUUCUUCUUCUCAGCAACAACGAAGAAUACAAUACAGACAAGAGUACAUGUAACUUUUACAAACAGCACUGACGUCAGGACAACCUAUUUGAAAAUAAAAUCAAUAAAAACAAAUGAUGAAAAAGGUUUAAACAAAGUGAUCACCGAAACUGGAAAACUGAAUACCGGAAAAAUGUCUAUUUCCUGUCCAGUGUGGGUGAAUCUGUACCCAUGAUAGUCUCAGGUUCCAGUUCUUGGCUGACAGGAGAGGAACCUGAUGUGAUCUUCUGCUUCUGUAGCUCAUCCACCUCAAGGUUCGACAUGUGUGUGCUGAGAUGCUUUUCUGCUCACCACGGUUGUAAAGAGUGAUUAUAUGAGUUAUCAUAGCCUUCCUGUUCACCCAGACCAGCCAGGUCAUCCUCCUCUGAUCUCUCUCUCUCAUUAACAAAGUGUUUCACUGGAUGUUUUUUGUUUUUCGCAUCAUUCUGCGUAAACUCUACAGACUGCUGUGUGUAAAAACCCGACGCAGGAGAUCAUCAGUUUCUGAAAUCCUCAAACCAACAACCAUGACAUGACCAAAAAGAUUGUUUUCUCCAUCCUGGUGUUUGAUGUGAACAUUAACCGAAGCUCUUGACCGGCAUGAUUUUAUCUACUGCAUAUAAACUACUGACACACGAUUGGCUGAAUGGACAACUGCAUGCGUGAGCAGGUGUACAGCUCCACUCCAUUGCUGACAAUAAGCGCGCGCUGAGGAGUCCCCAGAUGGACUUACUUGCACUGGCUGAGAGCCGAGGCGACGUUCGGACAAGGUUCAUACGUGUACGAGAAACUGCUGCCAUCUGAAUGGACCUGAGAGUGGACACGAGAGAAAAAAGGACAUUUAUUUACAGUGAUUGCGUGGCUGUGCCAUACGUGUGUGUGUGUGUGUGUGUGUGUGUGUGCACCUACUCU